GAGUUUGAUCGUGGCUCAGAUUGAACGCUGGCGGCAGGCCUAACACAUGCAAGUCGGGCGGUAGAGAGAAGCUUGCUUCUCUUGAGAGCGGCGGACGGGUGAGUAAUGCCUAGGAAUCUGCCUGGUAGUGGGGGAUAACGCUCGGAAACGGACGCUAAUACCGCAUACGUCCUACGGGAGAAAGCAGGGGACCUUCGGGCCUUGCGCUAUCAGAUGAGCCUAGGUCGGAUUAGCUAGUUGGUGAGGUAAUGGCUCACCAAGGCGACGAUCCGUAACUGGUCUGAGAGGAUGAUCAGUCACACUGGAACUGAGACACGGUCCAGACUCCUACGGGAGGCAGCAGUGGGGAAUAUUGGACAAUGGGCGAAAGCCUGAUCCAGCCAUGCCGCGUGUGUGAAGAAGGUCUUCGGAUUGUAAAGCACUUUAAGUUGGGAGGAAGGGCAGUAAAUUAAUACUUUGCUGUUUUGACGUUACCGACAGAAUAAGCACCGGCUAACUCUGUGCCAGCCGCCG
rnacentral:rRNA from 1 species